CAGUGAUUCAAGUCCUAUCU
rnacentral:miRNA from 1 species